rnacentral:rRNA from 1 species
AUUGAACGCUGGCGGCAUGCUUUACACAUGCAAGUCGAACGGCAGCACGGGCUUCGGCCUGGUGGCGAGUGGCGAACGGGUGAGUAAUAUAUCGGAACGUACCCAGAAGUGGGGGAUAACGUAGCGAAAGUUACGCUAAUACCGCAUUCGAUCUAUGGAUGAAAGCAGGGGACCGCAAGGCCUUGUGCUCCUGGAGCGGCCGAUAUCUGAUUAGCUAGUUGGUGAGGUAAAGGCUCACCAAGGCGACGAUCAGUAGCUGGUCUGAGAGGACGACCAGCCACACUGGAACUGAGACACGGUCCAGACUCCUACGGGAGGCAGCAGUGGGGAAUUUUGGACAAUGGGCGCAAGCCUGAUCCAGCAAUGCCGCGUGAGUGAAGAAGGCCUUCGGGUUGUAAAGCUCUUUUGUCAGGGAAGAAACGGUAGAGGCUAAUAUCCUUUGCUAAUGACGGUACCUGAAGAAUAAGCACCGGCUAACUACGUG